rnacentral:rRNA from 1 species
UUGGAGGGCAAGUCUGGUGCCAGCAGCCGCGGUAAUUCCAGCUCCAAUAGCGUAUAUUAAAGUUGUUGCAGUUAAAAAGCUCGUAGUUGAAUUUCGGGGUCAGUAGGUUGGUCAUGCCUCUGGUAUGUACUGGUCUCACUGAUUCCUACCUUUCCUGAUGAACCCGUCAAUGUCCAUUAAUUUGGUGUUGCGGGGAAUUUGGACUGUUACUUUGAAAAAAUUAGAGUGUUUAA